UACGAAGGGGGCUAGCGUUGCUCGGAAUCACUGGGCGCAAAGGGUGCGUAGGCGGGUCUUUAAGUCAGGGGGGAAAUCCUGGAGCUCAACUCCAGAACUGCCUUUGAUACUGAAGAUCUUGAGUUCGGGAGAGGUGAGUGGAACUGCGAGUGUAGAGGUGAAAUUCGUAGAUAUUCGCAAGAACACCAGUGGCGAAGGCGGCUCACUGGCCCGAUACUGACGCUGAGGCACGAAAGCGUGGGGAGCAAACAGG
rnacentral:rRNA from 1 species